rnacentral:rRNA from 1 species
UACAGAGGUCUCAAGCGUUGUUCGGAUUUACUGGGCGUAAAGGGCGCGUAGGCGGCCAGCACAAGUCAGUUGUGAAAUCUCCGAGCUUAACUCGGAAAGGUCAACUGAUACUGUGCGGCUAGAGUGCGGAAGGGGCAACUGGAAUUCUUGGUGUAGCGGUGAAAUGCGUAGAUAUCAAGAGGAACACCUGCGGCGAAGGCGGGUUGCUGGGCCGACACUGACGCUGAGGCGCGAAAGCGUGGGGAGCAAACAGG